ACGUACAGCACAAUGGUGGUUCAAGAAAUUUCAUAGUGGUGACGAGAGUCUUGAAGAUGAUAAGCUUAGUGGUCGGCCAUCAGAUGUUGACAACAAUCAGCUAUGAGCCUGAGUAGAAGCCAAUCCAUGCACAACUGCGAGAGCUUGCUUUUGAAUUAGAUGUAACGUAUACGGCAAUUUCCAACCACUUGAAAGAGAUUGGAAAAACAAAAAUACUUGAGAAAUGGGUGCCACACGAAUUGAAUGACAACCAAAAAACGCUGUUUUGAAGUGUCGUCUUCCCUUCUUUUAUGCAACAAGAAUGACCCGUUUCUCGACUGGAUUGUGACUUGCGAUGAAAAGUGGAUUCUUUAUAUAUUUAUUUAGAGGAUAUGUUAACCCCAUAAAGGAACGGUUAUACAUAUAAUGAAGGAGAAUAGAGAUUUAUAUGCAGUUUUAUUCAGCAGUUAAUUACUUCUUUUCGUUUCUGCAUCUACACAUGUUUCUGCAGUAAUAAAGUAAUGCACACUGCAAAAUCUGCAUCUUUAUGAGCAUUUAUAGUUAGUUGCCACUUCUUCAGGAUGGAAUUAACUGCAUUUUUUUAGAUAGAAUCUAAAUUAAAUACAAGUCCAGCUGAAAUGCAUGUGGUGUUGACAUUGUUCAAAAAAUAGCCUAGAUUGUGAUCUUUUCAAAUCUACUGGUUAAAAACAGAAUAACUAGCUGUCCAGGGAAUUUUAGUAUUCUGCAGAUAUAGACCAUCCUCAAAUGGUGAGUAAUAGUAUUAACACUUAGUAUCAGGUUACCUUAAGUAUGUUAUUUACUAUUAUUAUUCUCCCUCUCCCUAGUAUUGCUACCACAACUGUUCUUAUUAUUAUUGUUGAUCAUCAUCAUCAUCAUUGUCGUUUAACGUCUGCUUUCCAUGCUAGCAUGGGUUGGACGAUUUGACUGAGGACUGGUGAAACCAGAUGGCUACACCAGGCUCCAAUCUGAUUUGGCAACUGGAUGCCCUUCCUAAUGCCAACCACUCUGAGAGUGUUGAUAUUGUUAGUAAUGAGCUAUUUAACACAUGAUUGCAGCUCCUACAGUGGAUUUUGGUAAAAUUGAAGCAUGGCAGUCAUGAAGUUCCUCUUUUUGCAUGGCAAAGGAGCAGUGGAAAUCCAUGGUGAGUUUAAAGAAUCUUGAAGGAUGGAUGCCCAUCUUAUUCCACAGUGAAAAUUUGGGCAUCAAGGCUUCAGACUGGUCAUUUUGAGGUCACAGAUGAACCCCAGUCAGGACAGCCAACUUCCACAACCACUGAGGACAAAGCCAAUGCUGUGACAUCAAAAUUCUUGAGGAGCACCGGAUUUCAGCUAAAGUCACAGCUGAGACUCUGGGAAUUUCCUGCAAAAGAGUUGACCACAUUAACCACAAUAUUCUGGACAUGAGAAAGCUUUCCAUAAAAUGGGUGCUGAAAUACCUGAACACAUCUCAGCAGUGCAAUAGAGUGAUGACACUAGUGGUUAUUUUGAACUGGUUUGCAGUGGAAGAGGCUGAUUUUAUGGCUAGUUUAGUCACCACAAAUGAAACUUGGCUCCAUUUUUAUGAUCCCCACACCAAGUACCAAUCAAUAGAAUGUCAUCACAGUGGUUCACUGUGUCCCAAGAAAUUUCAGGCCCAGAAGUCAGCUGAAAAGAUUCUGGCUUUGGUAUUUUGGGACAAAGAUGGAGUAUUCCUCAUAAUAUACCUGCCAAAGGGUUGCACCAUCAAUGCAGAAUACUACAUGUCUCUGAUGGACAAACCACAUGAAGCUUUGAAGCAGAAACAUCAUGGAAAGCUGAGCCAUGGUGUCCUGUUUUUGUAGGACAAUGCACCAGCACACACAGCACAUAAAACUCUAUUGAAAAUAUGACUUUGGCUUCAAAUUGGUAAGCCACCCACUUUACUCUCCUGACUUGGGCCCCUUCCGACUAUCACCUCAUUCCACUACUGAAGAAAAAUCUCAAGGGAAUGAAAUUUCACUCCAAUUUGGAAGUAAUUAUUGCUACAGAAGCCUAGUUGGAGGCCCAACCUUCUGGGUUCUUUUACAGGGCUUAGAAAAACUGAAGGGUUGCUGCAACAAGUGUGUGAAUCUGAGAGGGGAAUAUGUUAACUAAAAUCAUAAUUAACACUUUAACCACAUCAUGCACCAUAUACGGUACACGGGUAACUGUCCCAACCUGCAUUGUGUACCACUAUUGGUACACAGUAUAAAUUUAAAAAAAUUUUUUAAACUGAUAUUUUAAUGAACUCAGUCAUUAUUAUACAUGAUUUAUGUUUUAGAAAUGAAGGAUAAUAACUAGAUUUUGCAAAUUU